CUUCAUUGUAGGAUGGAUCCGAAUGAGAAAUUAAUCUCUGAUUUCUUCACCAAAUGUUUGGUAAGCCAUAUGAGAACAGGAGCUGGCUGCAGCAUACCAUGAAUCCUCACAGCAACUUAAUGAGUUCCUGCGGCAGCCCUCCUCAAGGACAUCUGUGAGACAGUCAGAAAUGACUUCCCUGGAGACCAAGAGAGCCCACAGGGCUCUUCCCGCUGCUUCUUCUACCCUUGUAUUCACUCGGCUCUCUAAAUUUGUCUCAGCUCCAGAUGUGGAAAUACCUGCUUAAUAAUAGUCAUGUCAUUAGCCCACAAAACAGCCCUGAACAUUUAUUGGAAAAACAAAGUAGAGUCAGCUCAUCCCCAUCUUGAGAUGCUGAGCAUCCAGUUGAACCCAGAAGAGAUUUUACAACCAACUGAUA